rnacentral:rRNA from 1 species
AGCAGUCGCCGCGGGAAUACGUAGGUGGCAAGCGUUGUCCGGAAUUAUUGGGCGUAAAGGGCUCGCAGGCGGUUUCUUAAGUCUGAUGUGAAAGCCCCCGGCUCAACCGGGGAGGGUCAUUGGAAACUGGGAAACUUGAGUGCAGAAGAGGAGAGUGGAAUUCCACGUGUAGCGGUGAAAUGCGUAGAGAUGUGGAGGAACACCAGUGGCGAAUGCGACUCUCUGGUCUGUAACUGACGCUGAGGAGCGAAAGCGUGGGGAGCGAACAGGAUUAGAUACCCCAGUAGUCCCUGUCUCUUAUAC